CAGUCGCCGCGGUAAUACGUAGGGUGCAAGCGAUAAUCGGAAUUACUGGGCGUAAAGCGUGCGCAGGCGGUUCGUUAAGACAGAUGUGAAAUCCCCGGGCUUAACCUGGGAACUGCAUUUGUGACUGGCGAGCUAGAGUAUGGCAGAGGGGGGUAGAAUUCCACGUGUAGCAGUGAAAUGCGUAGAGAUGUGGAGGAAUACCGAUGGCGAAGGCAGCCCCCUGGGCCAAUACUGACGCUCAUGCACGAAAGCGUGGGGAGCAAACAGGAUUAGAUACCCCAGUAGUCCCUGUCUCUUAUAC
rnacentral:rRNA from 1 species